GACGAACGCUGGCGGUGUGCUUAACACAUGCAAGUCGAACGGUAAGGCCCUUUCGGGGGUACACGAGUGGCGAACGGGUGAGUAACACGUGAGUAACCUGCCCUCAUCUCUGGGAUAACAGUCGGAAACGGUUGCUAAUACUGGAUAUGAGCUUGCAAGGCAUCUUGUGGGUUGGAAAGAUUUUUUUUGGUUGGGGAUGGACUCGCGGCCUAUCAGCUUGUUGGUGAGGUAGUGGCUCACCAAGGCUUCGACGGGUAGCCGGCCUGAGAGGGCGACCGGCCACAUUGGGACUGAGAUACGGCCCAAACUCCUACGGGGGGCAGCAGUGGGGAAUAUUGCACAAUGGACGGAAGUCUGAUGCAGCAACGCCGCGUGCGGGAUGACGGCCUUCGGGUUGUAAACCGCUUUCAAUUGUGACGAAGCUUUUUUGUGACGGUAGUAGUAGAAGAAGCACCGGCUAACUACGUG
rnacentral:rRNA from 1 species